rnacentral:rRNA from 1 species
GUGAACGCUGGCGGUAGGCCUAACACAUGCAAGUCGAACGGCAGCACAGUAAGAGCUUGCUCUUACGGGUGGCGAGUGGCGGACGGGUGAGGAAUACAUCGGAAUCUACUUUUUCGUGGGGGGUAACGUAGGGAAACUUACGCUAAUACCGCAUACGACCUACGGGUGAAAGCAGGGGAUCUUCGGACCUUGCGCGAUUGAAUGAGCCGAUGUCGGAUUAGCUAGUUGGCGGGGUAAAGGCCCACCAAGGCGACGAUCCGUAGCUGGUCUGAGAGGAUGAUCCGCCACACUGGGACAGAGAGACGGUCCCCACACCCACGGGGGGGAGCAGUGGGGAAAAUUGGGGAAUGGGCGCAAGACUGAUCCAGCCAUACCGCGUGGGUGAAGAAGGCCUUCGGGUUGUAAAGCCCUUUUGUUGGGAAAGAAAAGCAGCAGGUUAAUACCCCGCUGUUCUGACGGUACCCAAAGAAUAAGCACCGGCUAACUUCGUG